rnacentral:rRNA from 1 species
GGCAGAUUUAGAUUGUUUCUAGUGGCGGACGGGUGAGUAACGCGUGGGUAACCUGCCUUAUACAGGGGGAUAACAGUCAGAAAUGACUGCUAAUACCGCAUAAGCGCACAGAGCUGCAUGGCUCGGUGUGAAAAACUCCGGUGGUAUAAGAUGGACCCGCGUUGGAUUAGCUAGUUGGUGAGGUAACGGCCCACCAAGGCGACGAUCCAUAGCCGGCCUGAGAGGGUGAACGGCCACAUUGGGACUGAGACACGGCCCAGACUCCUACGGGAGGCAGCAGUGGGGAAUAUUGCACAAUGGGGGAAACCCUGAUGCAGCGACGCCGCGUGAAGGAAGAAGUAUCUCGGUAUGUAAACUUCUAUCAGCAGGGAAGAAAAUGACGGUACCUGACUAAGAAGCCCCGGCUAACUACGUGCCAGCAGCCGCGGUAAUACGUAGGGGGCAAGCGUUAUCCGGAUUUACUGGGUGUAAAGGGAGCGUAGACGGAUGGACAAGUCUGAUGUGAAAGGCUGGGGCUCAACCCCGGGACUGCAUUGGAAACUGCCCGUCUUGAGUGCCGGAGAGGUAAGCGGAAUUCCUAGUGUAGCGGUGAAAUGCGUAGAUAUUAGGAGGAACACCAGUGGCGAAGGCGGCUUACUGGACGGUAACUG